rnacentral:rRNA from 1 species
UACGAAGGGGGCUAGCGUUGCUCGGAAUUACUGGGCGUAAAGGGAGCGUAGGCGGAUAGUUUAGUCAGAGGUGAAAGCCCAGGGCUCAACCUUGGAAUUGCCUUUGAUACUGGCGAUCUUGAGUCCGGGAGAGGUGAGUGGAACUGCGAGUGUAGAGGUGAAAUUCGUAGAUAUUCGCAAGAACACCAGUGGCGAAGGCGGCUCACUGGCCCGGUACUGACGCUGAGGUGCGAAAGCGUGGGGAGCAAACAGG